AGUGAACGCUGGCGGUAGGCCUAACACAUGCAAGUCGAACGGCAGCACAGUAAGAGCUUGCUCUUACGGGUGGCGAGUGGCGGACGGGUGAGGAAUACAUCGGAAUCUACUUUUUCGUGGGGGAUCACGUAGGGAAACUUACGCUAAUACCGCAUACGACCUACGGGUGAAAGCAGGGGAUCUUCGGACCUUGCGCGAUUGAAUGAGCCGAUGUCGGAUUAGCUAGUUGGCGGGGUAAAGGCCCACCAAGGCGACGAUCCGUAGCUGGUCUGAGAGGAUGAUCAGCCACACUGGAGCUGAGACACGGUCCAGGCUCCUACGGGAGGCACCAGUGGGGAAUAUUGGACAAUGGGCGCAAGCCUGAUCCAGCCAUACCGCGUGGGUGAAGAAGGCCUUCGGGUUGUAAAGCCCUUUUGUUGGGAAAGAAAAGCAGCAGGUUAAUACCCCGCUGUUCUGACGGUACCCAAAGAAUAAGCACCGGCUAACUUCGUG
rnacentral:rRNA from 1 species